UUUAUACCAACAAAGGUUGUGAUGGAGUGGUAAGUACUUCUUCUUCCCUAACCAAUAGGUCUCGAGUUUGAGUCCCCUUUGAUAUGUAGUCUCCUUUGUUAGAGCCAAUCCGAAUUUAGUGGGGCUCCAAUAGGGGUGGCAACUUGAGUUCAUAUUUUAGAAAUCAGCCCCUUUUGUCCAUAUUUAAUAAGAAAAUGGUUAAAUAUGAAUAUCAGCUUAUUUGAAAAUCCCACAUAAAUAUGGUCAAUAUGGGUUAAUAGUGGGUGCCCAUAUCCAACCCAUAACAGAUCAAACUCUUUUAAGAAAAAUCCCUAAUUCAGCUGCGCAGAAAUCUCAAGUCCGAUACAAGUUGCACUUUCAAGACCGCUGGCUCAAAUCUUUCUCCAUUUCUUUGACUCUCUCUGCUGAAAAAAUCCAUUGUUAAGAGAUAUACAUGGAGGCUAAUGAGGCUUCUUGUGAGGUCAGUUCGUCUAUCUCGAGAAAAUGAUAUAAAAGAAAUACUUCAAUUGUUUGGAAUACUUUCUCGAAAUUACUUUGUACUAGUGAUAACGAAAGGUAAAAAGCAUAAUGUCAGGCAUGUAAGGAAAUAUUUGUAUCCGAUGUUAAUACUACAAUUAUGAAACGCCAUAUAGAUAAGCAUUUGGAUAACACACAAGAACACGAAUAUGCAUAAAUUGAUCAAAUAAUUUAUUGUGAGACAGUCUCUGUUGCUAUUCUAAAGCAUAAUUUUCCUUUUAGCUUUGUUGAAAAUCAAGAAAGUAGAGAUAUCCAUCAUACUUAAAUACAUAUGUGAAAACUAUCUCAAGAAAUACGGCUAAGGCUGAUAUAUUGAAGUUAUAUGAUCGGGAGAAAGAACUUUUAAAGUGUGAGCUUGCAAUCAAUCCGAGUAGAAUCUGUCUGACUUCAGACAUGUGGACUUCUGCAGCUUCAAAUGGUUAUAUGUGUUUAACCGCUCAUUAUGUUGAUUUGAAUUUAAAUCUUAAAAAAAGAGUAUUAAUUUUUCGUAUGUUCCUCCUCCAUAUUGUGGUGCAGUUUUAGGUCCUUUGCUUAUUGAGUUUAUUAAGGAAUGGGGCAUUUAAAAGAAGAUUUUCGCUCUUACUUUGCAUAAUGUUAAUUGCAAUAAUGGUGUAGUAGAUCAUUUUAAAAUCAUUUAUGCUGAUGCAUUCUCUAGUUUGUGAUUGAAAGUUCUUUCAUAUUCGUUGCGGUAAUCAUAUGUUGAACUUAAUAGUAAAGGCUGGUUUGGAAAAAGCAAAUGACGCCAUUGAAAAAGUAAGAUAAGGUGUUAAGAACAUUCAAAAUUCGGAAAGAAGAAUAUUAGAGUUUGUGGAAUGCAUUAAGGAUCAUGGGUUGCCAUGUUCAAAGAAGCUUCGUCAAGAUGUAAGUACUCGUUGGAAUUCCACUUACCAAAUGCUUGAUAGCGCUCUUCUCUACCAACAAGCUUAUAUUCAAUAUAAAUUUCUUGAUAUUGAUUUCAAACAUAGUCUUUCCGAGGCGGAAUGGAAAAGGGUAGAGAGUAUUACUAAAUUAUUGAAACCAUUUUAUGAGAUUACUACAUUAUUUUCCAGAGGCAAAUAUCCUACUACAAAUUUGUAUCUUCCAAAUGUAUGGAAAAUUCAAAUGUUGUUAAAGGAAGCAAAAAAUAGUAGUGACCGAGUUAUGAAUGAUAUGGCUACUUUAAUACUAAGAAAGUUUAAGAAAUAUCGGAGGUCGUAUAGUAUCAUUUUGUCAAUUGCCAUUGUCCUUGAUCCUCGAUAUAAAUUGAAGUUUGUGAGGUUUUGUUUCUUCAAGAUGGAUUCUAUGACUGCUGAUGCAAAGGUUGAAAAAGUUAUAGAUCAUUUACAACUGUUAUUCAGAGAAUACUUGAUAACUUCAACAACAAUUUCUCUCUUAAGGGAGAACAUUUAUCAUACAAGCAACAAUGAAAUGAGGUAUGAUAUUGAAGAGUUUGAUGUGUUUGGGAAUUAGUUAGAGUCUGGUAGAGAUAAAAAACAAUUAGAUUUGUAUUUAGAGGAGCCUAAAUUUGAUCGUAAAGAGAAUCCAAAUUUAGAUGUACUUGCAUAUUGGAAGGAGAAUAGAGGAAGGUAUCCAGAGCUUUCGUUGAUGGCACAAGAUAUCUUGAGCAUACGUAUUACCAUGGUAGAUUCAGCAUCUACCUUUAGCAUUGGAGGUAGUAUUAUUUGAAAGUUUCACAGUUCUAUUUUGCCUUCAAAUGCUGAAGCAAAAUUGUGUGCUAAAGAUUGGCUUUGCGGACAAGAAGGUAAGUCAUCAUUUACAUAUUGAGAUUUAUUUUGUUGUGUUAUAAUAGCCUUAAUUUAUAGUAUAAGUUUCCAUUAAUUAAUAUGAAUAACAAAUAUUUUGUUCUUUUGUUACUUUUAUUUUCCUACAUACAUGCAUUGGUAGCUUUUAGAAUAACAAAUUAAUUGUUGGAAUUUGCUACCAAAUGUUUCUGUGAUGGAAAAUUUUGAUUUUUAUUGGUUAUACAAAUAUAUAAAAAGCUUGGCUUUGGAAUUUUUGGGUUUCUCAUUGUCCAUUAGUAUUUUUCAUCUUUGAUGUUCAUACAUCUGCAUUUUGAAUUCAUGGGAAAAAUUGUGCAAAUUUAACAACUUCAAUUUUUUAGCUUGUAUCUGAGAUGUUUCACUUCUUUAUUUUUAGUGAUAAAGUCUUAUGUAUGCUUUAUGUCUAUGUGGGUUUGGGAAUGCCUGGUGCUCAUCGAGUGAUGAUAUUUGGCCAUAGUCCUCGAGCAGUCUUUAUGUAGCUUAAUCAUGGGAAGUUACUGGUGAUUGAUUGAGUUUCGGUCUAUGCUUUAGUCAAUGAAUUUUAUAGUACAAUAUAGCUUGAUAACAUAUAUAAUACUCAUUUUUUGCUCAACUUCAUCUUGCUGCUUCACUGCAACCACAAGCAGUGAAAAAGAUGUAGAUAGUGCAACAAAGAAGAUGAAAUACCUGACAUCCUAAUGCACUGCUGGCUGCUGCAAAUCGACCGUCAAAUAUUAUACUAUUUUGUUUAGUCUCUAGCUUAGCCAUGUGAUUGCACUUAAAUUAUGUUUGUAUUUUUGUACUUUAAUUAUUGUAUUUUGAUGUUUACUUGAUUUCCACAGAAUGAAUAUCGAUCUUUGUCCUCUUAGAAUCAUUUGAGUACUA